rnacentral:lncRNA from 1 species
CAGACCAUCGUUGAAUAGUCCUUAGCACGGGUACUUCCUGUUUGAGUUUCUGCCUAUAGGAAGGGAGGAGCAAAAUGGAGUCGUGAUCAGACUUGCCGAACGGAGGACGGGGGAAGGCCUUGUGGGCAUCCCGGAAGUUCGAGUAACAGUGGUCGGGUGUUUUAACAGCGUGAGUACUACAGUCGAUGUGCUGAUAGAACUUCGGUAGCGUUUUCCUCAAAUUUGCUUUGUUAAAAUCUCCAGCUACAAUAAAUGCGGCCUUAGGAUAUGUGGUUUCCAGUUUGCAUAAAGUCCAGUGAAGUUCUUUGAGGGCCGUCCUGGUGUCGACUUGAGGGGGAAUAUGUACGGGUCUGACUUUAACCGAAGAGAAUUCUCUUGGGAGGUAAUACAGCAUUUUAUUGUGAGGUAUUCUAGGUCGGGUGAACAAAAGGACUUGACUUCCUGUAUGUUAUCACAAGCACACCAUGAGUAGUUAAUCAUGAAACAUACACCCCCACCCUUCUUCUUCCCGGAGAGAUAUUUGUUCCUGUCUGCGCGAUGAACUGAGAACCCAACUGGCUGUACGGACUCAGACAGUAUAUCCCGAGAGAGCCAUGUUUCCGUGAAACAGAGUGUUACAAUCCCUAAUGACUCUCUGGAAGGAAAUCCUCGCCCUAAGUUCGUCAACUUUAUUAUCCAGACUGGAAGAGAUACAGAGAGCUGUGAAAGCCUGUAUGCAGAUGAGGUCCCAAAACAAUUGCUGACAAUUGCCAUGUAGGGCACUGCCUCGUGGGGGAAUUCAAGUAUGUGUGAAAGCUAUCUGUGUCCUGCAUAACUUCAUGAUAGACAUGAGGACCAGGAGGGGACCUGCAGCUCGCCACCAUCUGCCAUAGGAGAGGUCUGCUGCUCUGCAGGAUGUUCCAAAGAUCGGGGCCAACAACACAGCUCGGGAGACAAUCCGUAUGCAGGAGAUCUUCACCUCCUACUUCUUCUAAGAGGGUGCUGUUCCCUGGCAACACCAUAGACUACACUAUGCACAACUCUUUUAAGAGCCAUCCACAUUGCAAUAAGAGUAUUCUUCCAUUUCCAAGCUAUGUCAACUACAGUUAUUCAAUUUCCAGUUUCUCUCCCUUUGAUUUCUACUUCUCAGGUGAGGGUGCUGUUCAGAAUAAGGGGGAUGUCUAUACAAAAACAACAGGCGCUUAAGAGUCACCCAUAUUGAAUGUAGAACAACUAGACACCCUACAACCCAAACCUACAGUACACACUCGUGUAUCAAUCUUAUUGAUGGAUUGUGUUGUGCAUAUAAAGUACUCUGCAGCCACUCCGUGUGGGACACCAGGUUAUAUCAGCUGUGUCGGUGAACCCCUCCAGCUUGUGAACUGCCUGACACAGAGGGCACAGCAUGAUCAGAGGUACUGUAUGUUUUGAUGUGAGAGAGGAUGCCAACUCCCAGUCCUGUCAUUGCCACCUCACGGGCCUACUGGGUGCCCAAGGCUGGUUAGGAAACACCGCUAGACACUUAUGUAAUUGUGUUGACCUGAGAGAAUAUGAAGUUUAGUAGCACUAUAAUUCAUUCAUCAUAUGCUAUCUUCCCUGCUCCUCAGUUCUUAACUCUUCCCCUUUGUCUUUUACACUCUCACACCUCUCUCCCAAACUUCUUUCUUCCUGUGUUUUUAUAAUUCAUACCAGAUGUGCAUUGAAGUACAG